rnacentral:rRNA from 1 species
CCAUCAUUCAGUUGGGCACUUUAAAGAGACUGCCGGUGUUAACCGGAGGAAGGUGGGGAUGACGUCAAGUCCUCAUGGCCUUUAUGCCCAGGGCUACACACGUGCUACAAUGGGUGGUACAAAGAGAUGCAAUCUCGCAAGAGCAAGCAAACCUCAAAAAGCCAUCCUCAGUUCGGAUUGGAGUCUGCAACUCGACUCCAUGAAGUCGGAAUCGCUAGUAAUCGCGGAUCAGCACGCCGCGGUGAAUACGUUCCCGGGCCUU